CCUACGGGUGGCUGCAGUGGGGAAUAUUGCACAAUGGGCGCAAGCCUGAUGCAGCCAUGCCGCGUGUGUGAAGAAGGCCUUCGGGCUGUAAAGCACUUUCAGCGGGGAGGAAGGCGUUAAGGUUAAUAACCUUGUCGAUUGACGUUACCCGCAGAAGAAGCACCGGCUAACUCCGUGCCAGCAGCCGCGGUAAUACGGAGGGUGCAAGCGUUAAUCGGAAUUACUGGGCGUAAAGCGCACGCAGGCGGUCUGUCAAGUCGGAUGUGAAAUCCCCGGGCUCAACCUGGGAACUGCAUUCGAAACUGGCAGGCUAGAGUCUUGUAGAGGGGGGUAGAAUUCCAGGUGUAGCGGUGAAAUGCGUAGAGAUCUGGAGGAAUACCGGUGGCGAAGGCGGCCCCCUGGACAAAGACUGACGCUCAGGUGCGAAAGCGUGGGGAGCAAACAGGAUUAGAUACCCGAGUAGUC
rnacentral:rRNA from 1 species